rnacentral:tRNA from 1 species
AUCAGGAUGGCCGAGCGGUUCAAGACGCUGCAUUCAUGUAGCAGUCCACUCUGUGGACGUGGGUUCGAAUACCACUCCUGACA